ACCACCUAAUAGCUUGUCAAAGGUAUAGACUCCUUGCUAAACAUCAUGUUUAAUAGUUUUAUAGAUAUUCUUGACUAAAACCAAACAAGAUUUUUGUUAUCUUUUAGUAACUAGUUUGGCAUUAAGACUUAGUUGUUGUUUGAGUUUGACAAACUGUUGCAAAAUGAUAACUUGCUAAAUGUCAGUCUAGAAAGUCUGAAAUGAUAACAAGAUGGAAGUUAUGAAAGGAAAUUGAUGUGGGUGCUAUCUGUAAUAAGAUGAAUGAGCUUUUUAUGCAUGUGGCAUAUGCAUGGACCAGUGGAUGCUUGUUUGUAGAUGCAUCUGAUAACUGUCUUAAAGAAAAUUUGCUGCUUGAGACUGUUAAUUCUAGUUAAAAGUAGCUAGCCUUUUAGUUCUCUAGCACUAAUUGGUUAUAAGUUAACCCAUUUUCAAAUAAAUAUAUUGAUAAAGAAAUUAACCUAUCGUGACUUAUUCUGCUCAUUCUACGAUCUGAAUUUUUAUCCUCCACACUGAUGAGUGCCAUAUAAGUAAUUGUAACUUCCUAACUGAUUUGUCCUUGUUUUUAUGUUUAUUGGAUGGUAAAUUUGUCCCUUUUUUUUCGAUUGGCUAUUGUACAUAAUUGAUAAUAUGAGUCUUGUCUGACAACAAUCUUACAUCUUUCAUAUGGAGAAAUAUUC
rnacentral:misc_RNA from 1 species